GGUGGCUCAGUGGUAGAGUGCUUGCCUUGCAUGCAUGAGGCUCUGGGUUCAGUUCCUCAGCACCA
rnacentral:tRNA from 1 species